CAAUAUGAAAAUAACACUAAGGAUAAGUAGAAUUUACUGUAUUUUCUCUUUUAUUUCAUUUUGUUUAUUUAAAAUUGUUUUCAUUUUCUUCAUUUCAAUUUGUUUAAAUUUUUCUUUUUUUUUUGUUAUCAUCAAAAUGCUAAAAAGUCCUUUUGUUCUUUUUCAUCUAUUUAACCAGAAUUUUUGUUUUAUUUAACUUUUUCUUUUAGUUUUAUUUAAUAAAAAUAAGCUAAGAG
rnacentral:lncRNA from 1 species